rnacentral:rRNA from 1 species
UACGUAGGGUGCAAGCGUUAAUCGGAAUUACUGGGCGUAAAGCGUGCGCAGGCGGUUUUGUAAGUCAGAUGUGAAAUCCCCGGGCUUAACCUGGGAACUGCGUUUGAAACUACAAGGCUAGAGUGUGGCAGAGGGGGGUGGAAUUCCACGUGUAGCAGUGAAAUGCGUAGAGAUGUGGAGGAACACCGAUGGCGAAGGCAGCCCCCUGGGUUAACACUGACGCUCAGGCACGAGAGCGUGGGGAGCAAACAGG